AACGGACACUCUGGAAAGCGUUCCGGCCGCCCAAUCGGGUGACGAUCGGAACCACCGAAGGGGUAACUCCAUCGUCCGAUGGAGGAAAACUCUCAGGUUCCCGUGACAGAGGGGGCAUG
rnacentral:ncRNA from 2 species